CGAUCUAUAGUGUAGUGGUUAGCACAUCUGCUUUACACACAGAAGGUCCUGGGUUUGUGCCUCAAGUGGAUCAA
rnacentral:tRNA from 1 species